ensembl:snoRNA
UGGACCAAUGAUGGGAAAAUGUCUAUAAACAAAGGAUCAUGAUUAAUUUGGUUUCUUUGUAAAAUGCAGAGGUCCAUU